UUGGUGGUGGUGGGUGCUUAAAAAUCUCAAGCGGUUGUUGAAGUUGCCGUGAGAUGAACUCGAGGUGCCCGGAGCCGUGGCUCCGCCGCGGGAGGAGGCUGAGCGCUCCGCGGUGCGCAGAGGCAGCGCUGACAAAGGGGCGAGCCGGUGCCAGAUGCGAGAUGCUCGCCCCGGUCUGCCCCGGGCGGCGUGGGGGGCUCUCCGGACCCCACCGGCAGCGGACACUUCCCCGUCUUCACGCUGACCCCCCGCUUCGGCGAGGAGCCCAUGUGAGCGCAGGCAUGAUGCUGCCCUGACCGUGCGCCCCCAGAGCUCAGCAGUGACGUCCCAUGGAGCAGGUGAGCUGCAGAGGACGGUGACCGGAGGGCAUCAUGGCCCCUCUUGUCCACAGCCGCUUUUAAGACAUGACGGAUUUAAACUUACAUGCCGAAUCUCACGUUUAAUAUACCCGUAUUUCACCUCUGAUCUUCUGACUAUCUGUUUCUCUCUUUUUCUACAUGAUCCGCUGCUGCGUUAGUGUGUUGGUGGCUAAGAAUCCUUACCGGUGCCUUCCAACAUAAUUAUCGAUUCCUGACGAAUGCUGUGUGGGAGCAAUAGCAAACAGCAAAACGUAUAAUUUGGUGGUUAAAGUUCUGUUGUUUUGCUUCACAAGUGGGGCACUGCCUGAAGGGAAGGGGCAUUAGAGAUCAAGUCGUAACUGACUGUGCUUGGAGGACAGCAUUGUGAUUCCCCCUGUACAC
rnacentral:lncRNA from 1 species